rnacentral:rRNA from 1 species
GUGUCAGCAGCCGCGGUAAUACGAAGGGGGCUAGCGUUGCUCGGAAUUACUGGGCGUAAAGGGAGCGUAGGCGGACAUUUAAGUCAGGGGUGAAAUCCCAGAGCUCAACUCUGGAACUGCCUUUGAUACUGGGUGUCUUGAGUGUGAGAGAGGUAUGUGGAACUCCGAGUGUAGAGGUGAAAUUCGUAGAUAUUCGGAAGAACACCAGUGGCGAAGGCGACAUACUGGCUCAUUACUGACGCUGAGGCUCGAAAGCGUGGGGAGCAAACAGGAUUAGAUACCCUGGUAGUCCACGCCGUAAACGAUGAUUGCUAGUUGUCGGGAAGCUUGCUUUUCGGUGACGCAGCUAACGCAUUAAGCAAUCCGCCUGGGGAGUACGGUCGCAAGAUUAAA